UACGGAGGGGGCUAGCGUUGUUCGGAAUUACUGGGCGUAAAGCGCGCGUAGGCGGCUUAUCAAGUUAGGGGUGAAAGCCCAAGGCUUAACCUUGGAAUUGCCUUUAAGACUGAUAGGCUUGAGUAUGGGAGAGGUAAGUGGAAUUCCGAGUGUAGAGGUGAAAUUCGUAGAUAUUCGGAAGAACACCAGUGGCGAAGGCGGCUUACUGGACCAUAACUGACGCUGAGGCGCGAAAGCGUGGGGAUCAAACAGG
rnacentral:rRNA from 1 species